rnacentral:rRNA from 1 species
UACGGAGGAUCCAAGCGUUAUCCGGAAUCAUUGGGUUUAAAGGGUCCGUAGGCGGUUUGGUAAGUCAGUGGUGAAAGCCCAUCGCUCAACGGUGGAACGGCCAUUGAUACUGCCAGACUUGAAUUAUUAGGAAGUAACUAGAAUAUGUAGUGUAGCGGUGAAAUGCUUUAGAGAUUACAUGGAAUACCAAUUGCGAAGGCAGGUUACUACUAAUGGAUUUGACGCUGAUGGACGAAGCGUGGUAGCGAACAGG